GCUUUAGGACAUGCUUAGACUAUGCUUUGAACAUGCGUUCAGUACAUGCUUAGAAACAUGCUUUAGAACACCCUAGAACAUGCUAAGGGGGUGUUAUAGGGAGAGAAUUGGCAGGAAAUCAUGAUGAAUCCUUGAGAAAACCAAUGAAACACGUCUUUAGUAACAUUGCUUAGAACACGCUUAGAAACAUGCUAAACACACUUAGACAUGCUCUAGGACAUGCUUAAAGAACAUGGCUUAUAGAACACAGAAACUAACGCUUUUAGAACAUGCUAAGGGGAGGUUGUGGAGAGAGUAAUUGGCAGGAAAUCAUGUUGAAGAAUCCUUGUGGAAAACAAUGCCUGAAUUUGGAGAUUCCACCUUGUUUGGAUAUGGAACACGCUUAGGACACGCUAAGGAGCGAAACGGCAUGAAAUCAUCUCGAAAUCCAUGGAGAAUCUGCCACGUUUGGACUUGGAACACGCUUAGAACAUGCUUAGAACACACUUAGGACACGCUUAGAACAUGCUUAGAACACGCUUAGAACAUGCUAAGGGGGUGUUAUGGGAGACAAUUGGCAGGAAAUAAUGAUGAAAUCCUUGUGAAAACCAUGGAACACGCUUAGAACAUGCUUAGAACACGCUUAGAACAUGCUAAGGGGGUGUAAUGGGACAGAAUUGGCAGGAAAUCAUGAUGAAAUCCUUGUGAAAACAGCCUGAAUUUGGAGAAUCUGCAAAGUUCAGACUUGGAACAUGCUUAGAACACGCUUAGAACACGCUUAGAACACGCUUAGAACACACUUAGGACACACUUAGAACGCGCUUAGGGGGGACACAGGAUGAAAUCAUUGUGAAAACAGCCUGAAUUUGGAGACUACACCUCAUUUGGACACUGAACAUGCUUAGAACAUGCUUAGAACACGCUAAGAACACACUAAGAAUCAAAACUGCAUGAAAUCAUCAUGAAAUCCUUGGGAAAACAACCUGAAUUUGGAGAUUGAACCUCAUUUGGACACUGAACAUGCUUAGAACACACUUAGAACAUGCUUAGGACACAUGUAGAACACGCUAAGGGGGAACACGGGAUGAAAUCCUUGUGAAAACAGCCUGAUUUUGGAGAUUCCACCUUGUUCGGACAUGGAACACGCUUAGAACAGGCUAAGAACAUGCCUAGAACAUGCUAAGAACACGCUAAGAACACAUUAAGUAGCAAAAUGGCAUGAAACCAUCAUGAAAACAGCCUGAAAUUGAAGAUUUCGCCUUGUUUGGACUCCGAACACGCUUAGAACACGCUUAGAUCAUGCUUGGAACAAGCCUGGAACACGCUUAAGGCAUGUUAUAGGAGAGAACCAUCAUGAAAUCCGUCUGGAAGGCGUUGUGUGUUCUUAACAUGUUCUUAGCAUGUUCUUAGCAUGUUUGACAGGGAUUCAUUGUGGGUUCUUAGCAUGAUCUUAGCAUGUUCUUAGUGUUUUCUUAGCGUGUUCUUAAUAUGUUUGACUGAGAUUGAUCGCA
rnacentral:lncRNA from 1 species